rnacentral:rRNA from 1 species
UGUAGUCUCGCACAGAUGCAUAUCAAUAAGCGGAGGAAAAGAAACUAACAAGGAUUCCCUUAGUAACGGCGAGUGAAGCGGGAAGAGCUCAAAUUUGAAAUCUUCAAGGUUUUACCUUGACGAAUUGUAGUUUAAAGAAGUGUUUUCUGUUGAAGUUUUGGUAAAAGUUCUUUGGAAUAGGACAUCAUAGAGGGUGAGAAUCCCGUAUUUGACCAUUAUUUUCAGCUGUGUGAUACACUUUCAAAGAGUCGGAUUGUUUGGGAAUGCAGUCCAAAAUGGGUGGUAAAUUUCAUCUAAAGCUAAAUAUUGGCGAGAGACCGAUAGCGAACAAGUACCGUGAGGGAAAGAUGAAAAGAACUUUGAAAAGAGAGUUAAACAGUACGUGAAAUUGUCAAAAGGGAAGCGUUUGACACCAGUGUUGUUUUCUCGAAAAUCAAUUAAAAAGAGUUAGAUUUUGUUGUGUAUUGAGCCUUAACAGCUUGCAUUUCAAUUUUCUUGCUUUUUUUAAUGCACUUUUCGUUUAACAAGUCAACAUCAGUUUCUUUUGUUGUAAAAAGGUCAUUGGAAGGUGGCUUUCUUUUCGGAGAAAGUGUUUAUAGCCUUUGACUCCUGCAAUCGGAGAGACUGAGGUCUGCAGCGUAGAUCCUUCGGGGUUAGAUACAUUUGUGCUAAGUUAUAGCUUUUUAUAGACAACUUGUUGACUAUGAUUAGUCUUGUAGCUUACUCGCUUAUGCUAUUUUACCUACGCUUAGGAUGUUGAAGAUGUAGCACAUCAU